rnacentral:rRNA from 1 species
UCGCCUGUUUUUCAAAAACAUCGCCUCUUGCUAAUCCGUAAGUAUAAGAGGUCCCGCCUGCCCUGUGACUAUAUGUUCAACGGCCGCGGUAUUUUGACCGUGCGAAGGUAGCGCAAUCACUUGUCUUUUAAAUGGGGACCUGUAUGAAUGGCAUAACGAGGGCUUGACUGUCUCCUCUUUCAAGUCAAUGAAAUUGAUCUCCCCGUGCAGAAGCGGGGAUAGACACAUAAGACGAGAAGACCCUAUGGAGCUUUAGACUCUAAAGCAGAUCAGCAUUAAUACCCUGAACAUAGGGCACGAAUAUACUGAACCCUGCCCUAAUGUCUUAGGUUGGGGCGACCGCGGAGAAAUAAAAAACCCCCGCAAGGACCGAAUGUACUACAUUCACAACCAAGAGCGACAGCUCUAAUUAACAGAUAUUUCUGACCAAUAAGAUCCGGCAACGCCGAUUAAUGAACCAAGUUACCCUAGGGAUAACAGCGCAAUCUCCUCUUAGAGCCCGUAUCAACGAGGAGGUUUACGACCUCGAUGUUGGAUCAGGACAUCCUAAUGGUGCAGCCGCUAUUAAGGGUUCGUUUGUUCAACGAUUAAAGUCCUACGUGAUCUGA